CAUUUCAGUGGCUCUUUGGGCUCAUAGCAGUAAUGGUUGAAGAUGCAGAUGCAGGUAAGAUGGAUAGGUGUGCGGGGAGGAGAAGCCAGAUGGAGGGACAGGUAAGGAGCACCUGCCCAGGGAGGAAAACGGAAGCCUGGCAGAAGGUUGUCAGGACAGCCUGAGGGAGGGAAUCUGAAUGGUCAGUGGGGCUGAGCCAUGUGAGGAGGAGGUCAUAGAGGUGGCUCCUGGGCCACUGUUUGGAGGAAGGUGUGUGACAAUGGCCCCAGGUAGCAGCCAGUGGCCAAAACCUGAGGAGAGGAAAUAGAGGCAGAAGGUAUGGGAUGCCUGGGUGGUUCAGUGGUUGAGUGCUUCCUUUACACCUAGGGUGUGAUCCUGGAGACCAGGGAUGGAGUCCUGCAUCCGGCUCCCUGCAUGGAGCCUGCUUCUCCCUCUGCCUGUGUCUCUUCCCCUCUCUUUCUCUGUGUCUCUCAUGAAUAAAUAAAUACAAUCUUAAAAAAAAGAAGGUGUAAGGGAUCCUAUAAAGAAGUUCACAAGUAAUGGAAUGAGAACAAAACAAUGGUGAACUGAGAGAAAGUGGGACCAAAGGAAGCCAUUUUAGGAUCAGGACAAUGUGGCCAUGCUUUGGGGCAGUGCUUCUCAAAUGUGGUUGUACAUUUGCAUCACCAGGAAUCCCAUUAAAUGCAGCUUCUGAUCCAGGAAUGAGGGCAGAGGACCACAUGGCACAGAAGACACAGGAGCCCAUGAUGCCACCUUGGGCCAGCAGCCCUUGGAAGCUAAUGCAGAGGCUGAUGUCAGGAAUCCUGACUGUCGUGCCAGGACCACGGUGGGCUUGGGGCCGAGGAUCCUGUGAGCUGGGAAGGGAACAGCGUGGGGCUCAUUCUACUGAGAAGCUGAGGGGGACAGAGUCAAGUGUGACCCGUUGGAAGUGUGAGUCUGUGAAGAUAAGAAGAGAACAAAGGAGUGGGUUCAUUCGAGCCUUCCCUCACUCGUUCACCUUCUAUGUGAGGUGCCCAGCUCUGUGCCAGGCUCCGGGAAACAAAGAUACAGAGACCAGAGCCGCCCUGCCCUGCCUUCAGGGAGCUUGCAUCUGAGGAGUCCCCUGCUCAUCGAUGAGGAGGCUGGGUCAAUGAGCACUGAGAUUUCUUCUAGCUCUGACAUUUGGUGGCUGAAAGGGAGCAAGGAUGGUGGCCUGGCUGGGGGCCACUGGGCUGCCACCGGGGCAUUUUGUGCGGGGAGAGUGGGAGACACUGCUUUCUCUCUGCCUGCAGGGGACACAUGCCUGUGAGGACAUGGGGCUGGACCCCUGCUUUCCUCUGCAGGCACAGAUGGUGAAGCACGCCUUACCGGAGGGCCGCGGUGGUCUGGAACAAAGGCUGGCCUUGGCCUGGCCGCUGCAACCACUGGCGGGACACUACAGUCGGUGAGAUGGGCCUCAGCAGUCACCGCUAAUUGCACGAAACCAAAAAAUCUUGAGAAUAUUUUCAGCCCAUUUGCACUUAUCAAAUAUCACACUGGAAACCCCAGAAAUUUGCGUAGGAUCCUUUC
rnacentral:lncRNA from 1 species